CUAGAAUACCUCCCAUUGCCAAGUCGUAGCUUAGGUCCGGACCAGGCAAAUGGGUUGUUAUUAUGUUGUUACCUAGGAAACAUAUUUUGGUUUAGGACUAUAACACCAACAUCAAUAUUUGGAAUAGGUUAAAUAUUGCAAAAAGCCUGAUGGGCCUAAAUACUUUGCAGCAGUUGCUAAGCCUUAUUUUGAAACAAGAUUUAUUACUAAUGGUCUAGACUAUUUUAAAACAAUGAUUUUCUCCCUGAAGGCCAUGUCAGGGAUGCGUUCUGGAUGAGCGUGUUAUGAUGUGCAGGCAGCAUCUAUGGACAACAUUGUAGGCCUGGUGAUUUACGACCUCAUGUGAGGUGUUCUACGUAUGUGAAACAGCACCAACCCCUGGAUAAAGAGGUUGUGAUGCCAAGACUGUAAACUCAAAGGUCUCGCUACGGCAAGUGAAUUGCUGUGAAGAAACCUGGACAUCACUCUAUCCCGGGACAGGUAUAAUAUUCCCGGACGCCAGGAUAAACACUGGACCCCCGUGAAGUUGUAAACAUAACCCCGGAAAGAUGACUUGGUAGAGCUAUUCUUGAUGAAUAUCCGCAGUCUCAAAAUAAGGACGAUAAAGGAGCAAGCAAUCGCCUUUGCGCUCAAAGACACCCUUAUACCAGGGCCCGGUUCGGAUAUGACACCGUAGGAAAUGCUUUCAAAAUAAAAGUUAUUAUCAUGCGCUCCCCUCGGGCUAGGAGAUCAGUCACAUGCUGCUGCGGGACCGACCGAGAGCAGAGCGAGAACACAACGGAACAGAAGGCCUUUAUGGAGCUCAACACACCAUCCCUUUCACAGACUCACAUGUGUAAAAGUAUUUGCUCUGUAUCAAAGCUUACAUGACACCCC
ensembl:lncRNA